rnacentral:snRNA from 1 species
GCGCUUGCUUUGGCGGCACUUAUACUAAAAUUGGAAUGAUACAGAGAUUGGCAUGAUCCCUGCGCAAGGAUGACGCACAAAUUCGUGAAGUGUUCCAUAUAUAU